CCUACGGGAGGCAGCAGUGAGGAAUAUUGGUCAAUGGCCGCAAGUCUGAACCAGCCAAGUCGCGUGAAGGAAGACGGACCUAUGGUUUGUAAACUUCUUUUAUAGGGGGAUAAAGGUAUCCACGUGUGGCUUUUUGCAUGUACCGUAUGAAUAAGGAUCGGCUAAUUCCGUGCCAGCAGCCGCGGUAAUACGGAGGGUGCGGGCGUUAUCCGGAUUUAUUGGGUUUAAAGGGAGCGUAGGUGGGUUUGCAAGUCUGCAGUGAAAGUCUGUGGCUCAACCACAAGAUUGCUGUUGAAACUGGAAGACUUGAGUGUAUGUGAGGUAGGCGGAAUGCGUGGUGUAGCGGUGAAAUGCAUAGAUAUUACGCAGAACACCGAUGGCGAAGGCAGCUUACUGGGCCGUAACUGACACUGAGGCUCGAAAGCGUGGGGAUCAAACAGGAUUAGAUACCCCAGUAGUC
rnacentral:rRNA from 1 species